UACAGAGGGGGCAAGCGUUGUUCGGAAUUACUGGGCGUAAAGCGUGCGUAGGCGGUUCGUUAAGUGCGUCGUGAAAGCCCCGGGCUCAACCUGGGAACUGCAUUGGUGACUGGCGGGCUAGAGUAUGGCAGAGGGGGGUAGAAUUCCACGUGUAGCAGUGAAAUGCGUAGAGAUGUGGAGGAAUACCGAUGGCGAAGGCAGCCCCCUGGGCCAAUACUGACGCUCAUGCACGAAAGCGUGGGGAGCGAACAGG
rnacentral:rRNA from 1 species